UUCAUGACUAUUACAUGUUCUCUCUUACAUCAGUAGAUUCAAAUCUAACGGAUUGCAAUAGUAGGCCAAUGUGAGUAUGACACAUGGCAUUACACAGCUGUCCUAACAGCUGGGAAUUCAAAACAGACUCAAGCAAUGCACCUGGCAUAUAAGCACAAGGCACACAGCUAACACAAAGAUUAAAAACAGAUUGAAUAUAAACUGACAUAAAACUUAGUAACUAAUCUGAAAUUAGCUAGACAGUUUACAUUUUAACACUCCCUUCUAAAGUGCUAGCUGAUUUCACUCCAAGCAUUCUCCUCAAAUAGUCAAACCUGUCUUUGGGAAGAGCUUUGGUGAAGAUAUCAGCAAUCUGCUCUUCUCCCUUGCAGUAGAGCAGUUCAAUCACUUCUUCUUGUAUUGCAUCUCUAAUAAAAUGGAACUUCCUUUUAAUAUGCUUGCUUCGUUGAUGAAAAACUGGAUUUUUAGCCAUUGCUAUGGCUGAAGUGUUGUCACAAAACACAGUUGUUGCAGUCGUCUGUUCUUCCCCAAAAUCUUCAAGAACAAACCUGAGCCAAAUGGCUUGUGAUGUAGCUUCUGCUGCACUCACAUACUCUGCCUCUGCAGUAGAGAGAGCCACACUGUGUUGUUUGACUGAUGCCCAUGAAAAAGCACCACUUCCAAAUGAAAAUGCAUAUCCAGAAGUGCUUUUCAUAUCUUCCUCAGAUCCACUCCAGUCACUGUCACAAUAACCAACUAAGAGUGCAGAUUUUCCUGUCACAUACUCAAUUCCAUAGUCAAUUGUGCCUUGUAUGUACCUUAGAACCCUUUUAGCUGCCCCAUAGUGCAUCUUAGAAGGGUUGUGCAUGAAUCUUGCAAGCAAGCAGGCAGAGAACAUGAUAUCUGGCCUGGUUGCAGUAAGGUACAGCAGGCUGCCAACAAUUUUUCUGAACAAACUUUCAUCUGCAGCAUCACUUCCAUCCUCUCUUUUCAAUUUAUCAGUAGCCACUAAUGGAGUGCUUACUGACUUGCAGUCUUUAAGUCCAAACUUAUCCAAGAGAGUGAGAGCAUACUUCUUUUGAUGAAUGAAGAUGCUCCCUUCAGUUUGUGUUACUCCGAUACCAAGAAAAUGGUGGAGUAAACCCAAGUCAGACAUCUCAUACUUGCACAUCAUUUCAGCUUUGAAUUCUUUCAUCAUUUCAUCACUACUUCCUGUGUACACUAUGUCAUCUACAUAGAUUGACACUAUUAGUGUUCCCACACCUUCCUUUGUUCUCACAUAGAGAGUGGCUUCACUUGGACUUUUGUGAAAACCACACUGACUCAAGUAGGUGUCAAUUUCACUAUACCAGGCCCUUGGAGCCUGCUUCAACCCAUAGAGAGCUUUUCUUAACCUAUACACCUUAUCCUCAUCACCUUUAACCACAAAACUAUCCGGUUGAUCAACAUAAACUUCUUCUUCAAGGACACCAUUUAAGAAGGCUGACUUGACAUCCAAUUGCCAUAGUUUCCAGCCUUUCUGAGCAGCAAGAGCAAUGAGAGUUCUAAUGGUGUCUAACCUUGCCACAGGAGCAAAGGUUUCAUUGAAAUCAAUCCCUGGUUUUUGUGUGAAUCCCUUGGCAACAAGUCUUGCUUUAUGUUUUUGAAUGGAGCCAUCAAGAUUAAGCUUAAUUUUGAAUAUCCACUUCACUCCCACAAUUGGUUUACUACUUGGCCUGUCAACCAAUUCCCAAGUGGAGUUUUUCUCUAUCAUAAGUAUCUCCUCCGUCAUAGCCUUCCCCCAAGCUUCAUCUUUGACUGCUUCUUCAAAAUUUUCAGGUUCAAUGAUGCUCAUCUUGCAUUGAGCAUACACUUCACUCAAAUUCUUCCAUUUCUUUGGGGUGUGAUCAUAAGGUUCUAAUGGAGCAGAGUCUUGAGUAGUAUGCACAUCACUAUUUGUUUGUGUUUCCAUAGGAGACUGCACAAUCUGAGCAGACCUUCUCAUGUUCUUGUAAAUUGGGCAGUCCCUGAACCAUAUCUUCUCCUGUAACAACUUCAAACUAAUAUAGUUUAGGUGGCCAAAUCUUCUGUGCCACAGCCAGGAAGUUUCUCCAAUUGUUGCUCUGUUUGCCACAGGAGGAUUGACAUAGUCAAGAUUCAAAGGAAAACAUCUGUUUUCCUUCAUUGGCACUCUUGCAAUGCAAUCUUCCAGCUGCCUAUCUCCAUAGAUAUCAACUGCAUUGUCACCAAAUACAAGCCAAUGCCCAUGUUCUAUCAUUUGACCUACACUUAGCAAAUUUUCAUCUAACCCUGGUACAAUCAUGACUUCUUUGAUAUAUCUAGUCACACCCUUCAUUUCUAUAGCCAAAGUCCCUUUGCCUAUUGACUGCACUAGAUCACCAGUCGCCAUUUUGACUUUACUCUUCACACUUUUAUCAAUAUUUACAAGUAAUGACUCAUGAGAAGUCAUGUGAUUGCUGCAUGCACUAUCUACAUACCACAUAUUCACAUUCUUUCCAAUUGUUGCAGCAUGGCAUGCAUAGAACAUAAUAGCAGGUUCAGUUACCUGAUUUGCAAUGUUAGCAAGUUUCCCUGCCUUGUUUGCUUGGUCACAGUCCUUGACAAAAUGACCAAAACGAUUGCAGCCAUGACACUUUGGUUUUCCUUUAAACCAACACUCACCAUAGUGUAACUUCUCACAAUGUUUGCAUUUUCCAGACUUGUCUCCUUGACUUGGUUUUCCCCCUUGAUUGGCACUGUUUUGAGGUUUAGAAUCCCAUUUCUUAUCCUUGGACUUCCAGUUCUUCUUUGAUUUAUUUGAGCCAGAACUAGAACUUGAUUGUGAUCCUUUUGAGUUUAUGCUCAUGCUGCUGAAAGCUUUCUCAGUGGUGCUUUCUGCAUGUCUGUCAAGGCGCUGAGCAAAACCUCUUAAUGCUGCAAUGACCUCCUGCACUUCAAUAGUUUCAAUGUCCCUAGUUUGCUCAAUCACAUAACAGACUGGAUCAAACUCCUUGGUUAGACUUAUUAGCAGUUUUUGAACUAUCCUCCCUUUGGUCAGAUCUUCCCCAUAUCCCUUCAUUUGAUUUACAAGCUCAAGUAGCCGAGUGAUGUAUCCAGACAAGAUCUCAUCAUCCCUCAUCCUGGUGUACUCAAAAUCUCGACGCAGACCCUGCAACAUGAUGGAUCUGACUUGCUUAUCACCAUGAAACUCCUGAUGCAAGAUAUCCCAAGCACCUUUUGAGGUUUCUUCAUUUGAGAUUCUGGGGAAGAUGUCAUCUGAAACAGCACCUUGGAUAAUACCAAGAGCCUUAGCAUCCUUCAUCAACAAGGACACCAUUGCUGAAUCUGAUGACCCUUCUUCAUCAGCUUUUGAAUCUGGAACUUGAAGGCAUUUCUCAACCAAAUUCCAAAUUCCAUGAGAUUUGAAAAUUGUUCUCAUUCGAAUCUUCCAAAACUCAUAGUUCUCCCCAUUGAAUAUUGGAGCUCUAAGAUCACUCCCUCCUGACCCAGCCAUCUUAGACCAGAAUCAAUGAGCUGAGAGUAGGAAUUUCUCGUUGGAUUUCCAGACUCAGCUCACACAGCUUCAACUCCCUAUCCAGAUCCAACCUGCGCACCUGAUACCAUGUUGAAUAUUUGGAUUGCAAAGGGAGCAAGAAAUGUACUGAGAGAGAGAGAGAGAGAGAGAGAGAGAGAGAGAGAGAGAGCAGUGAGCCUUAGAUUGUUCUAACAGAAUUCUUACCCUGCAUAAACAUUGCAGCAGAGCUUAUAUUCCUUCAUGACUAUUACAUGUUCUCUCUUACAUCAGUAGAUUCAAAUCUAACGGAUUGCAAUAGUAGGCCAAUGUGAGUAUGACACAUAGCAUUACACAGCUGUCCGAAUAGCUGGGAAUUCAAAACAGACUCAAGCAAUGCACCUGGCAUAUAAGCACAAGGCACACAGCUAACACAAAGAUUAAAAACAGAUUGAAUAUAAACUGAC
rnacentral:lncRNA from 1 species